GACAGAGGUCCCGAGCGUUAGGCGGAAUUACUGGGCGUAAAGGGCGCGUAGGCGGUUCGAUAAGUCCCGUGUGAAAUCCCUCGGCUCAACUGAGGAAUGGCACGGGAAACUGACGGGCUUGAGUUCGGGAGAGGGAAGCGGAAUUCCGGGUGUAGCGGUGAAAUGCGUAGAUAUCGUUUGGAACGCCAAUGGUGAAAACAACUCGCUGGGGAUGUGCCGACGCUGAGACACGAAAGCCAGGGGAGCGAACAGG
rnacentral:rRNA from 1 species